rnacentral:siRNA from 1 species
GCCCUUAAGGUGGGUCAGGGA